rnacentral:rRNA from 1 species
UACAGAGGGGGCAAGCGUUGUUCGGAAUUACUGGGCGUAAAGGGCGCGUAGGCGGCCUUCUAAGUCGGACGUGAAAUCCCUGGGCUCAACCCAGGAACUGCGUCCGAUACUGGAAGGCUUGAAUCCGGGAGAGGGAUGCGGAAUUCCAGGUGUAGCGGUGAAAUGCGUAGAUAUCUGGAGGAACACCGGUGGCGAAGGCGGCAUCCUGGACCGGCAUUGACGCUGAGGCGCGAAAGCCAGGGGAGCAAACGGG